GAAUUGAUUAUAUAUAUAGAGAGAGAGAGAGAAUAGGGCUACUAUACUCUUAUGAGUAUAGAGCUCUUCGUACUCAUAAGUUGUUUUUGAUGAUGGAACUUCUGAAUCGAUGAUCCACUUCGUUAAAUAUGAUCUAAGUAUUUGAAACUUUUAGAAAAUAAAUUUCGUAAUUUUUCGAAAUCAUAAUAAAGUCUAUCAAACGGGCAUAAAAUGAACGGUCAAAAUCGAACGACGUCCUAAAAUGGAUGAUCGGAUCCUUCAAUUUAAGAUUAGAGUUAUUGAUCUUUAUCUAGAUAGUGAAUAGAAUUUUCUAUCAAAAAUUCAACCUAUUCGNAGAGAGAGAGAGAGAGAGAGAGAGAGAGAGAGAGAGAGAGAGAGUGUUUUGCUAGAAUACUAUCGGUAGUAAACGGCUCGGUUUACUACCGAUUUAUUUUCGAUGAUAGAGCUUCCAAAUUGAUGAUCGGUACCGUUAAACAUGAUCUAAACUAUUUAAACCAUAUGGAAAUCAAAUUUCACACAUUUUCGAUAGUGUUCUCUUGUCCAUCAAGUGAAUAGAAAAAUGAAUGGCUGGAAAUGAAUAUCUUUCAAAAAGUGAUGAUACAAUUUUUAUAUUUGAGAUCUAGAGUCUAGAUCUUAUUUUAAAUAGUUUAAAGAAUUUUUUAACAAAAAUUUAGUUGAUUUGAACUCUUCUAUAUCCUUAAACGAGCAAACACACCAUAUCGGCCAUUAAAAUUAUAGAUUUUGUGACCCUUUGAUCGUUCAGUUAGUGAUGCCAAAAAAUCAUAAAAUUUAAUUUCUAGAUAAUUUAAAUGGUCCAGAUCAUGUUCAACGGUGCCGAUCGUCGAUUUGGAAGCUCUAUCAUCAAAAAUAAAUUGGUAGUAAAUCGAGCAGUUUACUACCGAUAGUAGCCCAAUCAAACUCUCUCUCUCUCUCUCUCUCUCUCUCUCUCUCUCUCUCUAUAUAUAUAUAUAUAUAUAUAAUAACAUUACAAAGCCCUUUACUAUAUAAAAUAUAAAUGUGCUCAUGAGUUACUCUUUGCCCAUGUUGUUGCUUUGUGGGGUCCUUCUGAAAAGACACCCAUUAAAUGCCAUUGUACUUUGAAGUUGAGAUUACUAAUGCUGUCCCAUUUUUAUAUUAUUUUUAUAUUUUUUAAUUCCAUAGUAUGGUUUUUGCCAGCUAAGCAUUGAUGCAAUCCUUUAAUCAUGAUUAAGAAUCAGAAGGCUAAAUUUACUAAUUUUAACUAUUAGUUUGUAUUUAAGUGGUGAAAGUGAAUAUUUUUUGAAUGUUUAUUUGAAUUACUUAUUUGCAUUCUGCAUGUGACACUUCAAAAAUUUUAAAUAGCUAUAUAUAUAUAAGACAUAAUAAAAUUAAACAUUUUAACUCCGCUAUAAUAUUUUGAAAAGUGGCCAAGUCAAAGAGAUUAAAAAGGUUAAGUGUGCUAAGAUUUUGGUAGCUUUAUGUAAGUGACUUUUUUAGAAAAAAGGGCGUUAUAAUUAAUAUAAAAGCCAAUUGCCAGCCAAAAGUGUGAGAUAAAUUUCAGCUUAGACUGGAUCAUACAAACUGAUAGCGCGCGACUCUCUAACUGACUAUCGUUAUGUGCUGAAGCGCGGCUCCUAGUGCUUGUGAGUAUGCUUUUGUUCGACGAAAACAUCAAGACUUAAAAAAUGGGAAAAAUAACGAAAAUAUCAUACUCUCAUUAAGAUUAGAAUAGUCUUACAUAUAAGGGGAUAAUUGAUAACUUCUUAGCUUGACUAUAGCAUUUUGGGUCAUAGCUAGAUCUAAAAAAUUAAAAGGAUUAAACAUAUUAGAAUUAGAAUAGUUUUUGAACAUUUCAAUCUAUGGUAUAGUGGAGAAUAUAAACAGAAGUAAUGUCAAAAAGACGCUAAAUAAAUAUUUUUAUAUGUGGUGAGUUAAUUCCAUCAAUUAUUGUGGAAACUUUUGGGCAACUUAUUAUCCUAGACAUAAAUGGAAACACAAGAACAUAUGUGUGUCCCAUGAUUCUUGGACAUAUGAUGUGUGCCUUAAUAAAACUUAUUAUCAUAUCCAACCAUGAAACACACAUCUUUAAGCCCUAGUCAAUAAAAGCUCCAUCCAUGGACCAUGGAUCUCAUUUGUUUAGAGAUUCAUUGAAUAAGUGCUUUUAGGAAAAGCACAUACAAGUUAUUUGACUCAAUCUAUAUAUACAAAUAAUAUUGCAUUGAGUUAGGCACUAAACAAAUAAUAUUGCAUUGAGUUAGGCACUAAAAGGUAUUACCAAAAAUGGUUGGUCCAUUAAUUGAUUAGAAUAUCCAAAGCAAGGAGCAUGUGUUUGCAUUAAAAACGUUUGUACAGUUAAUACUAGCUACACUUUCUGAGACAGAUCUAAAAUUCUUGACACUUUUUAACAAAAUUUUAUACAACAAUAACUCUUAGUGCGCAUUUGUUAUUGCUUAGGUGUUUGAUCAUUGGUUUGAUCAUAUUUUGCGAAUCAUAGUCUCAAUAAUUUACCACACAUAAUGGGGUCUUUUCAAUAAUUUACCACACAUAAUGGGGUCUUUUAUUUUGUACGUGCUUUUUUUUUGGGCAUCAUUUGUUAAUUUAGUUCGUAUUAGACUUAAUAAAAAUAAUAGUCUCAUAUUGAAUAAAAUAAAGAGUAUUCGGGCGUACACAUAAUUAUUUAAUUUUUAGCUCAUAUUAAAUUUAAAAUUAAUAUUCUAACUUACAUAAAUUAAUAUAUAUAUAUAUAUAUCAAAUGUAACAAGAUAAUGUCUAUAUCUUUUUUUAUUUUUGUUUCCUAUCUUCUAACAGUUGUUUGUAUCUUUCAAGAGAUCAUUCUAUGGAUUAAGCUUAUAAGAUUAUAUCUUAUUCAAAGUAGAUCUGUUGAAAGCNCCUUUGUUUUUAUUUUUUUCUAUAUCUGUAAUAGAACAAUGUAAACUAUAUAUAUAUAUAUAUAUAUAUAUAUAUAUAUAUAUAUAUAUAUCUUCUAACAGUUGUUUGUAUCUUUCAAGAGAUCAUUCUAUGGAUUAAGCUUAUAAGAUUAUAUCUUAUUCAAGGUAGAUCUGUUGAAAGCAUUUCUAAUAAAGUAAACUGCAAGUUUGGUCCUCAAAUUCUAAUUUAUUAUAGUUUCUGAUUUAAAUUUUCUAAAUUAUUACAAUUAAGUCCUGCUGUCCAAUUUAGUUGACUGAAUACUUAUGUUUCGUUGAUAUAACUAAUUUAGAAUCUUGAUAUUGCCACGCUGUCGAUUACGGUACUAUUGCAUCAUUGCUAUAUUAGCGACACAUCAUCAAUUAAUUAUCUAAUUGAAUUGGACUGCAAGGCUUAAUUAUAAUAAUUUAAAAAGUUUGAGCCAAGAAAUAACAACAUAUUAAAACUUGAGGACAAAAGUAUCAAUAGCUCAAAGUUUGAGGACCAAAAUUGCAAUUUACUCUCUUGUAAUUGUUUUCUAAAGAUCUAAUUUGAGCAUGAUUUAAUUUUAUAGACUUAAUCCAUAUGAUAAUGAUCUCUAAAAGAUACAAACAACUGUUAGAAGAUAGGAAACAAAAAAAAUAAAAAAAAGGAUAUAUGCAUUCAAUUCAUUUGGUAGACAAUAUCUUCUUUAUCAUAAAAGAAGUUUUACAGUUGUAUAAGCUUUGACUAAUUGCAUGUAUAGCAUUUAAUAUUUUCUUUUUUAAACAUUAUUUAAAAAGUAAGGUGGAAUACUUUAUAUAGCAAUAUGAUUUUUUUUAUUCUUAACUUAUUUUCGAUGAUAGCUUGUAUGAACCGACGAUCAGUAUUGUUAAAUAUAUUUUACAAUACUUGAACAUUUCAUGAACCAUAUUUCAUUUUUUUUCCUUUUUUUGCCAUUAUUUAUUUAGUAAUCAAGUAUUCUCAAAUAGAUCUCGUAUUACCUAUAAAAAUUAUAUAAUACAUCUAGCACGGUUUCACAUUUCUAACUGAGUUCAUUUUAAAAAAAAUAGCUUAAUCAUCUCUCUCUCUCUCUCUCUCUCUCUAUAUAUAUAUAUAUAAUAUCAAAUCUCGGUACUAUUAAUUUAUUUUUGAUGAUAGGACAUUUUAAUCGACGAUUUACACCAUGAAAAUUGAUUUAGAGAAUUUAUACCUUUUAGAAAAAAAAAAUUAUAAUUUUUGAGAUCAUUUAACUUGCGAUCAAGUAGNGAUUUAGAGAAUUUAUACCUUUUAGAAAAAAAAAAUUAUAAUUUUUGAGAUCAUUUAACUUGCGAUCAAGUAGUCUCAAAAUUGAACAAUUUUAACGGCUAUGUGUUGUGUUUUCUCAUUUAAUGAUGUAGUAUAUACAUUCUAAAUCAGUUAAUUUUUUUUAUAGAAAAUUUUCUAAACUACUAAGAUCAAAAUGAAUAAUCUUGAUUUUUGAAUUUGAGAGUUCUGUCAUAGAGUUUUAAAGACUUGUUCGUUUUCGACUGUUCAUUUUAUGGCCAUUUGAUGAACUAGAAAAUAAUUUCAAAAAAUUAUGAAACUUCAUUUCUAAAUAGUUUCAAUACUCUGGAUCAACUUGAAUAAUAUGGAUCAUCGAUUUGGAUAUCCCAUCAUCCAAAAUGAGACAAUAAUAUUAGAGUNUAGCGGUAGAGUUUACUUUCUGCUUUUCUGAGUACUCUUGCUCCCUUCUGUAGACUUAGUGGGUGGACCGAUGUGGUUUUGGGCGGUACCCACUGAGGACUACUUGUUUUUACAGUAGUUCUCACGCCCAGUUGUUACCUCUGUUUUGUAGAGCCACAGGUUCCGGCUGCUGCGCCUUCCGCGGAUCAGGAUCGAAGCAAGGGCGUCGCGAGUUAGAGCCCUACCCGUCCUGCUGAGUUAGAGGUGCCCCUACUGCAGGUAGAUGUUUUGUUUCGAGUUUCUGUACAUAGUAGACUUAACUCGCCAGUGCGAGUAGCUCUGUAUUUUGGAUUUGAACUGUGUAUAUGAAACUCAGUUUGUUUAGCUUUUGUUCUCUCUAGCAGCUCUCUACUACUGUUCGUAGUAGUGUUUGAUUUACAGGUACGGCUGUCGCUUCGUAUACAGGAAAAAUUUCUUUGUAUACGGCGGAUUUGUCGGCGUGCCCGGGGAACGAGACAUCCGGGGCGUGACAUACCAACUAAUAAAGAGAAAAAUAUGUACAAAUUAAUCACAUAACUUGGGAAAAUAUGUAUUUAGUAACUAACGUUUAUAGCAGUAAAUGUGUAAUUUUAUUACUUUAUAAGAAUAUAUUAUGAGUUCUUAAAUUUGAUUACUUGAGUGUGACUAAAUAUUGGGGCUCGAUUCCUCGACUCCUCGGGGAUCAAUAUCAAUCGAUACAUAUAUGAAAGUGCAGUGAAAUUUAUUUUUAAUGUCAAGUCCUGGUUUAGGGUGGAUCGUACCCAAGCUUUUGCAAACAGAUCUGCCACAUAUACAAAAAGUCUCGUGCACACGAAGCGUCAGAAGUAUAUGUAAAUACUUCUAGAGGCUACAACUAGUAGAUAUCAGAGUUUGCAAGAAAAACUAAUACAUAACCGAAAGGGAUAAUUGCCUAUAUACCCUCCAUACGUGUGAAAAUAUUCGAUUUAUUCUUUUUUUUUUCUUUCUAGUUAUUGCAAAAUAUCCUUACAGUUAUCUUCUGUUAAGUUAAUUUAGAUUAAAUGUGAGUUAUAUAUAUACCAUAGUUAAAAAAAAUUAAAAUGCCAAUUUUACCUUUAACUUAAGAGCAAAUAAGAAAUAUUGAUGACAGUAAAGGAGUAUAUUGGAAAAGACCAAAAGUCAAAAUAUUUUUUGUGCCAUUGACUUCAAGAGCAAAUAAGAAAGUCAGUGAUAAUGGAAGGGUAUAUUUAAAAUGGCAAAAUAGUAAUUUUACAGAGAUAACAAAGUUCAUUAAUAGAUUUUAACUCUAGGGGUAUAUUAGAAAUAAGUUGGAACGUAGAAAAGAUAUUUUCAAUAUUAACUUUCUAAGAGGGAUAAAUCGAAAAGUCGGAAACUUUUCAGAAAUAUAUAAGCGAUUACCCCUAUAAGAAACUAUACUGUAUAUAUAUUAACUACCAAAAUAGAACAUCAUCCAUCUCCCUGAUAACUGAAAAUAAAAUAUAUAUAGUAAGUUGUCCUCGCUAGUCCCAGUAUACACAAUAGGUUACUAUCAAAAGUUGGCCUCUAUAGGGUAUUUCAUUAAUACGAGCCACGCAGAUAGAGAAUCUACUAGCCUGCGACUCUCUUACCUCAAUUAGAUUCAGCCAUAGGAAUGGAGAGCCUUGAAACAGAAAAAAAAAAAAAAAAAGAAGAAGAAAAAAACAACAAUAGAGAGCGCGAUAACUACUGUAUAAAUAGCUCCUACUAGGUAUCAUCAUUGAAAAUAACGACUUGCCCACCAGAUCUAUUAGAGACAUAAAGUAACGCGAACUACAGUAUAAGAGAAAAGAAAGUAACAGCUGAAAUAAAAAUCUACAGCUAUUAUGAAGCGCAUGACAUUUUAGUCCUCGAACUGUAAUGCAUUGCAGUUUCUAGCUCAAACUAUGAGACACGUGACAUUUUAGUUCUCAAACUUUAGUUAGUUGUAAUUUCUGACUUAAAAUAUAAGGCAUCCGAAACACGUGAUUUUGUCUUUUAUUCUUUUUAGUUUUCUUAUACUUCCAUUCUUAUAUAUAUUUGUACUGCAGCAGCAACUGCUUCUUCUUCAGCUUUUUUUACUUUUAUAUUUUUAGUAAUCUUUGACCUUUUCUUUUAUUUUUCUUAUACUUUUACUAUUUCUUUUUAUUUAUUUAUUUUUGUGAAAUGGACUUACGAUCUACGAACAAGAUAAAAUUAAAUAAAUAUAUAAAUAAAUAGAAACUUAGAUAAGAUCCUAGCAAGAAGAGAUUCGACCAUAAAUGUUCAACGUUACAUACUAUGCUUUAUUAAUAAUACAAUAAUAUGAUAAAUAUAUCGAACAGUGAUUCGCCAUAAAGUGGUACCAAAAAAUCAUUACUCUCCUAUACUAAAAAUCUAUGCACAUUGAAUAGUAUCUGGGUUUUUUUUUUUUCUGUGUACUUUAUCAAGUUCAUUUAAUUUAGGAUUAAUUGCAUAUGCAUCUCCCACUUGAAUUUGGCUCAAUUAAUUAUUAGUUAUUAACGGUAUUUUAAACUCUUUUUUAAUCAUUCAAUCAACAAAGUUAUUGGUUUAAGGUUCCUUGAAUUUACGAAGGAAGGAUUUGAAUUCAAAUUCUCUCAAACGAAACUAGAAUCCUUUUAAGAGGAUUUGGAUUUAAAUAUUCCCUACCUUCAAAAUUAAGCUUAGAGCAUUUGAUUCGAUGAUAAGAAUCGUGGAUUAGAAAUGUUUUGAAGUAUUUGAGAGUAUUAUAAAUCAAAUUUUUUGAAAUUUUUAGAAAUGUUUGGACUUCUAAAAAAGAGUUUGUGUGCUAUAUUUCUUAAGCUUAUUCAGUUCACACCAUUCAUUUUUUCUCUUUACAUACAUACAUACAUACAUACAUACAUACAUAUACGGGUGGCAAUUCAGCUCGCUGUUCGCGAGCCAGUUCGUGUUCGGCUCGAAAUGAGCUCGAGAUCGAAUCGCUCGUUUAGUAAACUAGCCGAACACGAGCUGAAUUUUUCGACUCGUUUAAUAAACGAGCCAAACACAAGCUGGGGCCAGCUCGCUCGUAUUCGGCUCGAUAACAGCUCGAAUAUAUAUAUUUUAUAUUUAUAUAAUUUAUUUAAUUUAUAUUUUUAGGCUAAAUUACAUAAAAUCCUCUUGUCAAAAUCCGAUUUUUCACUUUUCCCCCCUGUCAAUUAAAAACCUACACUUUGCCCCCUUGUAAAAUGAAAAUGUUCACUUCGCCUCCUGCCGUUAGUAAUCCGUUAAGGUUUCGUUUAUAAAAUAUUAUUAUAUAUUUUUUAAUACCAAAAAUGCCCUCAGCUUUCUCUCAUGUGAACAUAGUGAGGGACAAAAUGGUGAGGGAUAAAAUGGUCAUUUUAUCAUCACAGUUCACACCGUACCCCCAAAUAGUGAAGGGUAAAAUAGUCAUUUUAUCAUCACAGUUCACACCGUACCCCACUGUGAAUAUUUUUCAUUUUACAAGGAGGCAAAGUAUAGGUUUUAAAUGACAAGAGGGGGAAAAGUGAAAAAUCGGAUUUUGAUAGGGAGUUUUUUGUAAUUUAGUCAUAUUUUUAUAUAUAAAUAAAUAAUUAUAUAUAAUAUAUAUUUUUAUUAUUUAAUUUUUAGUAAAAUAAAAAUAUAAAUGCGAGCUUAAUUAUAAAAAGGCUCAUUUAUAUGUAAAGUUUCAACUAUUAGAUCAAAGUCUAAUGAAUAAGAUUUUAUAAAUUUAUUUUUUAUAUAUUUAUUCAAUCAACAUCCUUUUAAACUUAUUGUUCUCCUGGCGCUCGUCUGGCCGACUCGUGUCGCUCGUUUAUUAACAGUUUGAACACCGCGCUGAAUUUUUCGAGAUCAGAUACUUUUAACGAGCAGCCGUGUUCGCCGUUAACCCCUAUAUUACAUACAUAUUAUAUAUAUAUUACCGUAUAUAUAUAAUAUCUAUAUACCAUAUAUUAUACUCAUACCACCUACCCCUAUAUUAUGAGCGCUACUAUGCUUCUGAAGGCACGGAGCCUUUCGUGCUUCUAAGUUGUUUUCGAUGUUCGGACUUUCAAAUCGGCGAUCGGCUCCGUUAGAGUUGAUUUAGAGUAUUUGAAGUACCUAGAAAAUAAAUUUUGUGAUUUUUCGAUAUCAUUUGCCUAGUGAUCGAAGGGGCUCAAAAUCAAUAAUUUUAAUGGCCGUGGUGAGCCGUUUGCAAAUUUAACGGUGUAGAAAUAUCCAAAUCAUAUGAAAUUUUGAUAGAAAAUUCUUUAUACCAUAUAAAACAAGAUCAAUAACUUUGAUCUAAAAUUUUAAUGUCAUAUCAUUAUAUUUUGUAAGAUUUUUAUUUUCAGCCGUUGAUUUUGAGCCACUUCGAUCACUAGGCAAAUGAUAUCGAAAAAUUACAAAAUUUAUUUUCUAGAUACUUCAAAUACUCUAAAUCAAAUCUAACGGGGCUGAUUGUCGAUUCGAAAGUCUGAACAUCGAAAACGAUCUGGAAGCACAGAAGGCCCCGUGCUUCCAAAAGCAUAGUAGCCUCACUAUAUAUAUAUAUAUAUAUAUAUAUAUAUAUAUAUAUUGCUUGUAAAAGCACCAAGCACUUGGUAACUUGAAGUUUUACGUUUAGAUCUACUCUUCGAAUCAUUUUCAACCAUUAUAUUAUAACUAUUCAACCAACCACCCACUCAACCUAGGGGCCCCAUCAUUCUAACUGGCAUAUCUCUUAAUUCAAUGGCUAAAAUCUACAAGCACCAAUAACUUGUUACUCUUUAAAAGCAUAGGACUCAAUUAUAUAUAUUAAAAAAGUAUCAAAUUAUUGUUGUUUUUGGUUUCUAGAAAGUUUGUAUACUCCUAAAUUAUUUUAGAAGUACCAAUUAUCGAUUCAAAUCACAGUAACAUCGAACUUGAGAACCCUGUAUUUAAAAAAAUUACACUUAAUGAUUAUGUGAUUUUAUCUCUAUUUUUAUCUAAAAAAUCAAAAAUCUAUUAUCAAAGAGAAUAGACAAAGUAAAGUUUUUUAAUAAUCAUAGUGUAAAGAUCCGACCUACUUGCAAUAAUAAUAAUAACUCGUUAGAUCCAAAUAAAAUAUUUAAGCUAAAUUAUUAUUAUUAGAAUUUUUUAUACUUAAAUGUCUAAUCAUAAUUCAUUUCCUAACUGAUGAGGAUUAUUAGGAUGUUACAGACUAAUACAUAUAAAUCAGAAUUAUCAAGCGAUACGAGGUUUUAGAGGUGGCUCCUGUGGGUUUAAAAGGUGGUUCCUACAAAAUACUUAGGCUUGUUUGGUUCGCCCAUUUUUCACCCUGGAAUCUGAAUAGAUGAAUCCGUUUACUUGUGUUUGAUACGCGGAAUUUCCAUUCCAAUUCCGAUUUCGGGUGAAUGGGAAUUUUCCCAAUUACCCUUUUUUCCAAUUUGGCUUAGAAGGGUCAAUUGAAAAUUGAAUCCAUGCGGAAUGAAUUUGUUCGGAUUAAAUUUAACUUUUUUAUACUUAUUUUUUAAACAUAAGUUUAAAGUUUAAGUUUAAAAAUUAUAUUUAUAAAAUUAAAUUUUAAUUUGAUCUUAAAUUAAAAAUUAGAAUUCAAUCAAGCAUUUUGAAUCUAAUUUAUAAAUUUAUAUUUAUAUUUAAUUUAAAAUUUAAAAUUUUAUUCGUAUUUUAUUUAAAAUUUAAAUUAAAUUUUUGGAUUCAAAUUGAAAUUUAAAUUAUAAUUUUAAGCUUGAAUUUGAAUAAAUCAAAAUUUAGUUUUAUAUUUUGAAUUAUUAGUUCAAUUUUAAAUGUUAAUUUUUUAAAAAAUAUGUAGUGGUCCGGGGUUUUGGAUAGGAUUGGCUACAGUACUAGUGACUGUUCGACACAUCUGGAGAGUGUCGGACUGAGUCGGAGUCGUUUCUGCACGAAAUAGAUGCAGAAAUGGAUUUUGCGCACUCAAUGGAGCAAAACUGGAGUUUUGCCAGUUUCGGACGCCCAGAACAGGGUUUGAGUCGUCCAGAACUUGAGUGCUAGUUUGAGUAGAACUGGAAGCCAAUCCGGAUCCUGAUUUCGAGUAGCAUAGUUGCUGGUUGUGGGUGUUGUCGGCUGAGACUCCCAGCAACUUUGUGACCUCCUCACUGCCGUAGAGUUGCGCUAGAGGUGGGUUAGUUGUGAUGCUUACUGAAUUCGACAAAUUUUCCUCUAAGUUAAUAUUGUCAACAUGUGUUGUUAGCUGUUAGAUUGUAUUAAUGAGCUCAAAUUUAUGAUUAGCAUGCUUAUUGAAAUCUGAAUUGGGAGCUUAUAAUGUUAGUUAAAUAUACAUGUUGGACUUGGAUUUGACUUAGGAGAAAACUAACGAUUCUAUAUUGUCAUAUGUUAAAACUAUCAGAUUUAGCUAUAGGAGCCGUAGUUUGUUAAUAUCACCACAGUUUGUGGGCGGUGGAUACCUAGGAUAGUGUAGAAUGUAUUUACACUCGUGCUGGGAUGCCGAGCUUAUUGUUACAGCAGUGUUUAGGCUGUUUCGGAUUGUCGGGUGCCGUUGAGGUUGACGGUGGAACCAGAUUGCUGUUUUUGCAUUAGAUUGUGCCGAGGGCACAUGACUUGGUUGUUAGACCAGUUAGACCCUGUUUACUUGACUAUAGCCUGUGAGAACCUGAUUGAGCUCGACAGAGACACGCUUGCUUAAUCGGUUGGGUAGCAUCCACGAGUGCCACUCCGGAGUCGGGCUUUGUGCGUUUGUGUUGGUAUUGUUGUGUCCUGGUUGGACUUGCUCUCCAUGGAUGGUUGAGCUUGGAGGUAGCUGUAUAGUUUCGACAAGCGGGACGGGUGUAUUCACAGUCCCUGGGACGGGUGUAUUCACAGUCCCUCGUGAGAUUGGGUCAGAGAUUGCAUUACUCUACAGAUAGUAGUGUUGGAUUAUGAUAGUAUAGUGGCAUGUAGCUGUAGAUUGUUUCCAGUUCCUUUACUAUCAUUGAGCAUACCUUCUGUAGACUUAGUAAGUGAGCCGUUGAGGUCGGUAGCAGUACCCACUGAGUACUACUUUUUGCAGUAGUUUUCACGCCCAAUUGUGGAUCUUUUGCAGAGCCUCCGGUUGCGACUGCUGCUACUGCUGAUACUGAUCUGGGAAUGGGUGUUGCGAGUUAGAGCCCUUCUUGACGAGUCACUGAGCUAGAGGAGUACCAGCUACAGGUAGUUGUAGUUUUUGGUUUAUUAUAUAUACUGAUGUUGUAUCUUGCUGGAGCAAGUAAUUUUUGUAUACUAGGAUGCUAUGUAUGUAUAGUGAACUUCUAUUAUUUAGUUAUGUGUUAUUUCAGCAGCUCUAUAAUACUAGUUAUAGUAUUGUAUGUUUACAGGUACAGCUAUCGCUUCGUAUACAGGCGAAAUUUCUUUGUAUACGGUGUAUUUGUCGGCGUGCCCGAAAAAACGGGUAAUCCGGGGUGUGACAGAUUAAGUUGGUAUCAGAGCUUAGUAUUAGGUCAUUGGGACCUAGGAACCCUAAGAUUGGCAAACCUUAAGAAGGCAAGACGCGAGAGGCGUGAAUUAUCGCGAAAGUCAGUGAUUGAUUAUUCUAACUCCUCCUAUAGCUGAGUGAGUGAUUGAAGAAGUGCCGGUUUCGGUCCAAAAAAAUUAUGUUGGCUGCAGACGACAUAAUUUUCAGGAGAAACAGGGGUCGUCUUCUAGACUUUCGUUUGAUUGGGUCGAGAGUGUUUGUAUUUGUAUCUGA
rnacentral:lncRNA from 1 species